rnacentral:rRNA from 1 species
AACGAACGCUGGCGGCAUGCCUAACACAUGCAAGUCGAACGAGAUCUUCGGGUCUAGUGGCGCACGGGUGCGUAACGCGUGGGAAUCUGCCCUUUGGUUCGGAAUAACAAUUGGAAACGAUUGCUAAUACCGGAUGAUGACGAAAGUCCAAAGAUUUAUCGCCAGAGGAUGAGCCCGCGUAGGAUUAGCUAGUUGGUGUGGUAAAGGCGCACCAAGGCGACGAUCCUUAGCUGGUCUGAGAGGAUGAUCAGCCACACUGGGACUGAGACACGGCCCAGACUCCUACGGGAGGCAGCAGUGGGCAAUAUUGGACAAUGGGCGAAAGCUUGAUCCAGCAAUGCCGCGUGAGUGAUGAAGGCCUUAGGGUUGUAAAGCUCUUUUACCCGGGAUGAUAAUGACAGUACCGGGAGAAUAAGCUCCGGCUAACUCCGUGCCAGCCGCCGCAGUAA